GGAAGGUUCUCUUUCUGUCUCUUUGUCUUUUGAUUCUCUGUCUCUCUCAGUGCUUUGUGUUUACUCAAGGUAACAGCCAUGCUUUUGUCCUGGUCCACGUGGCAAGAGCUCAUAACAGCACUGACAUGCAACCAAAGAACCUGGAAGAGAAGAAUGGAAAUUUUUUCCACCCCUACAUCUGGCAACUGUGAAAGGGAUCUUCACUGGCUGGACACCACUGGUUCUGGGGCUGCUGCUGCUGCUGAGAGAUCCUGGGGCCUCUGACAAAAGCUGGCAGAAGGACAAAAUUGGAAACAUCUGUUAGAUUACCAAGGCUUUGACUGGAAUGACAUAUUUGAGAGAGAUGUGCAUAGAAUCAGAUAUGCCGGACAGCUUCAAGGAACACAGGCUGCCUUUUAUGGAGCCAAUAAUGCCCCUUGGAAAAACAGGCUUGUACCUUGCUUACAAGAUUCCUGACAGUCUAAAUAGGGAAGUGACCCUACCACAGUAUACCUGAUGACAUCAUCAGAGACAUUCAAACUGCAAACCAGGAAAAUCAGUCAAAUUGUCCCUGUCUGCCUUCAUUCCAUCUGAAGAUGCUUCAAGCCUGGCAUUUAGAAAUAUUCUUGACUGGCAGCUUUCAAGACUCAGGCACUAGGUUUAUAAUUUGCUGCAACCAUUAACCUUUGUUUUUCUUCUGUUUACCUGAUUGCUUGCACAACAGAGGCCUAACUUUGGGAGCCCACCUGCAGGACUGCUUCCCAAAAUGAGACAACUCUUAAACUGAACUGAUCUAUUCUCAAGACUGAGUCUGGUUCAAAGAGAUUUGGAGCAAUCUUUCAACUUAAUUUCUGGACUGUGAAACUUCUUAUUUUAAGUUUCAAAGACAGUAUUGCAGGGGAGCAGAAUAUGUCUCUUUGUCAUCAGGAUUAUUUUAGGUUGAUUACUUUCAAGAAACUUCAAAUUAAGGAAAAGCUCUUUACCUCUCCCCACCCCUCAGUGGCCUAAAUUUACAUUAUUUGCUCCUUAUAUGCUAGGAAAAGAGCUAUUGCUAGAGAUACCUUUUAUACCUAAGAAAUUUAUCUUUACAACAAGACAAUAUUUACUUUUCAAACAUCUCUCACUUUCCUGUGAAUGGCCAUCCUUCUCUUUCUAUCCCCAGACUCCAGUACCUUUCCUUAGCUCAGGAUGUUCUAUAAGCCUUAAUUACCUGGCUGCCCUUUGGGGCUCAUAUUUUUAUGGGACUCCUAUACCUUCUGCUACUAAUCCAUCUUAUAUCACUUUAAUUAUUGGAUCAGCCAAAGAACCUAGAAGGGAAAAAGAAAACAUUUUUCUGCCCCUACAAAACAGUUUCUAGAAUUAAUUAGAAUUCUGAAUUAGAUUGUCAUAAGUUGAAAUGCAUAUUGUAAUAUUUAGAGCAAACACUAAGAAAGUAACUUAAAAAGUACAGCAAAAAGGAAAAAACCAGAAGAAUUAAAAUGACAUACUAAAACUAUUUAUUCAACACAAACGAAAGAAAGGAGGAGAAUAAGAAUAAAGAUACAAAAUAGGAAGCAAAUAGCAAAACAGCAGAUGGAAGUCCAACCCUAUCAGUAAUUCACUAGAUAUAAAUAUGGUCUAGGGGUGCCUGGGUGGCUCAGUCGGUUGAGCGUCCUACUUCAGCUCAGGUCAUGAUCUCACGAUUCGUGAGUUCAAGCCCUGCAUUGGGCUCUGUGCUGACAGCUCAGAGCCUGGAGCCUGCUUCCAAUUCUGUGUCUCCCUCUCUCUGUCCCUCUCCCCUUCACACUCUGUCUCUUUCUCUCAAAAAUAAGUAAAUGUUAAAAAAAAUUUAAAAUAUAUAUAAAUAUGGUCUACUGUGAUAGUGUGAGUUAUAAUAAGAAGUAUAGAUUUGGUCUCUGUCCAUAGCUUUCAGCUCACAGGUCCCCAAACUCUUGGAAUUUCCUAAGUGAGGAGAGCAAUGGUGGUAUCUUUCAUUAUAAUAUGUGGUCUUUUGUCCUCAGUUCCUGAAAUUGUUUCCGAGCCACAAAAGUGAAUUGGAUGUCUUGUUAUUCAUAACAAUCCCCUUUCCACCACCACCGAGUUUCUGUUAAUGAGGUGACUUUUAGAAAUCCCCUAAAGAUGGAAAGGAGGAGCUGGUUGCCAGGGCAACCAACCAUGAUCAGAAAGUUAGAACUUUCAGUCCCAACCCAUGAUUGUCAGGAUGGGGAGAGGGGCUGAAGGUUGAAUCAAUUAGCAAUGGCUCAUGAUUUAAUCAACCAUGCCUAUGUAAUGAAGCCUCCAUAAAACCCAAAAAGGAUGGGGUUUGGAGACCUUCCAGGUUGCUGAGCCAGAAUGCUUCCACAUGUCACCAUGUCAGGCCCCAACCAUGAGGACAGAAGCUCUUUUAUGUGGGACCUCAUUCUAUGUAUCACUUUAUCUGGCUAUUGAUGCAUAUCCUUUAAUAUUCUUUGCAAUAAACUGGAAUCUAAUGAGUAAA